UAGGGAAUCUUCGGCAAUGGACGAAAGUCUGACCGAGCAACGCCGCGUGAGUGAAGAAGGUUUUCGGAUCGUAAAACUCUGUUGUUAGAGAAGAACAAGGAUGAGAGUAGAAUGUUCAUCCCUUGACGGUAUCUAACCAGAAAGCCACGGCUAACUACGUGCCAGCAGCCGCGGUAAUACGUAGGGGGCAAGCGUUAUCCGGAUUUACUGGGUGUAAAGGGAGCGUAGACGGCGAAGUAAGUCUGAAGUGAAAACCCAGGGCUCAACCCUGGGACUGCUUUGGAAACUGUUUUGCUAGAGUGUCGGAGAGGUAAGUGGAAUUCCUAGUGUAGCGGUGAAAUGCGUAGAUAUUAGGAAGAAUACCGGUGGCGAAGGCGACUUGCUGGACACAAACUGACGCUGAGGAACGAAAGCGUGGGUAGCAAACAGG
rnacentral:rRNA from 1 species